rnacentral:rRNA from 1 species
CACGUAAGUUGCGAGCGUUGUUCGGAAUUAUUGGGCGUAAAGGGCAUGUAGGCGGACCUGCAAGUCUGGUGUGAAAUCCCGGGGCCCAACCCCGGGACUGCGUUGGAAACUGCAGGACUGGAGUCACUGAGGGGCAGGCAGAAUUCCUGGUGUAGGGGUGAAAUCUGUAGAUAUCAGGAAGAAUACCGAUGGCGAAGGCAGCCUGCCAGCAGAUGACUGACGCUGAGGUGCGAAGGUGCGGGGAGCGAAC